UGAGGAAUAUUGCGCAAUGGGCGCAAGCCUGACGCAGCGACACCGCGUGAAGGAUGAAGGCUUUCGGGUCGUAAACUUCUGUUAAGUGGGAAGAAAAAGCUGGUCCUAAUACGACCAGAAAAUGACGGUACUACUAGAGAAAGUACCGGCUAACUUCGUGCCAGCAGCCGCGGUAAGACGAGGGGUGCAAACGUUAUUCGGAAUGAUUGGGUGUAAAGGGUGCGUAGGCGGUAUGUUAAGUCAAUCGUUAAAUUUUUCAGCUUAACUGAAAGUCGGCGGUAGAAACUGGCAUACUUGAGGAUGGAAGAGAGAAGUAGAAUUCUCGGAGUAGCGGUAAAAUGCGUAGAUCUCGAGAGGAAUACCAAUGGCGAAGGCAGCUUCUUGGUCCAUAUCUGACGCUGAGGCACGAAAGCGUGGGGAGCAAACAGG
rnacentral:rRNA from 1 species